ACGUGGUCUCAACUUUUGGAGUUUACUAAGACAAUAGACCCUUUGCUAUCAAAUUACGAUGCUGAAGGCGCAUGGCCGUAUCUCAUAGAUGAAUUUGUGGAAUACUUGAACGAGAACGGCAUCAUUUCAAAUGCCCAAUCGGUGACUGAUCGGAG